rnacentral:rRNA from 1 species
AGCAGCCGCGGUAAUUCCAGCUCCAAUAGCGUAUAUUAAAGUUGUUGCAGUUAAAAAGCUCGUAGUUGAAUUUCGGGAUUGACACAUCGGUCGUGCCUUAAGGGGUAUGAACUGGUGUAGUCAAUUUCUCACCUUCUGGAGAACCGCGAUGUCCUUAAUUGGGUGCCGCGGGGAACCAGGACCUUUACUUUGAAAAAUUAGAGUGUUUAAAGCAGGCAUUUUUGCUUGAAUACAUUAGCAUGGAAUAAUAAAAUAGGACGGCAUGGUUCUAUUUUGUUGGUUUCUAGGACCACCGUAAUGAUUAAUAGGGAUAGUUGGGGGCAUUAGUAUUCAAUUGUCAGAGGUGAAAUUCUUGGAUUUAUUGAAGACUAACUACUGCGAAAGCAUUUGCCAAGGAUGUUUUCAUUAAUCAAGAACGAAAGUUAGGGGAUCGAAGACGGUCAGAUACCGUCGUAGUCUUAACCAUAAACCUAUGCCGACUAGGGAUCGGGAUGAUGUUUAAUUUUUUAAUGUACUCAUU